CACAAGAUAACCCAACUAAGCUUCCUUGAAGCCACUCAAAAUUACCCUUCGAUAAACCUCAUUAAGCUCAAUAUGGCACACUUACACAAAUCUCAUAUUAACAAAGAUGUUGGCAUAUGUGGGCAUCCCAGAUUGCUUAGGAUGUUAAGAUGUGACUAGUCAAAUGACUUGGUGAGGCUAACUUGGAGAUCGACAAUUAUCUGACAUCCCAGUCUUAUACUCAAGCUAAGAGACUAGAAGCUGAUAUUUUCAAGAACAAUAACCAGUCACCUGUGCUGAGCAUGAUGAUUAUGAACAGGUUUGGCGGCAGCUUUUCUGUCAACUUCUCCGAUAAAUUAAUCGCCAAUAGAACGAACCAAGUUCAAUCUUGAACCAAUUGUUCUAGAUUUAAACUAAGUUCAGAUAGAUUCAUGUUAAGGCCAAUUCAACUCAAAUUCACCCCUAUUGCUCACCGUCAAUUUCGCUUUCAAAUGAUGUUGUUAUGAAUUCCAAAGCACUAAAUACACUCUCCAACUUCACUAUGUAAGCAGGAUACGGAAUAAAUUCAUACUUUUUAAAUU